rnacentral:rRNA from 1 species
CCUACGGGAGGCAGCAGUGAGGAAUAUUGGACAAUGGGCGCAAGCCUGAUCCAGCCAUGCCGCGUGCAGGAAGAAGCAUCUAUGGUGUGUAAACUGCUUUUGUACAGGAAGAAACACUCCCUCGUGAGGGAGCUUGACGGUACUGUAAGAAUAAGGACCGGCUAACUCCGUGCCAGCAGCCGCGGUAAUACGGAGGGUCCGAGCGUUAUCCGGAAUCAUUGGGUUUAAAGGGUCCGUAGGCGGUUUAAUAAGUCAGUGGUGAAAUCUGGUCGCUCAACGAUCAAACGGCCAUUGAUACUGUUAGACUUGAAUUAUAAGGAAGUAACUAGAAUAUGUAGUGUAGCGGUGAAAUGCUUAGAUAUUACAUGGAAUACCAAUUGCGAAGGCAGGUUACUACUUAUGGAUUGACGCUGAUGGACGAAAGCGUGGGAGGCGACAGGAUAGUAUACCUCGUAGUACACGCCGUAACCGAAUGGAGUACUAGCUGUUCGGUAGCGAAUACUGAGUGGUCGUAAGUCGAAAGUAGGAUAAAGUAAUACCCACCCUACGGGGUAGGUAACGUUUCGGCCAAGAAAGUAGUAAACGUACCAAAGGAAAGUUAGUACGG